GAUGAACGCUAGCGGGAGGCCUAACACAUGCAAGCCGAGCGGUAGAGUCUCUUCGGAGACUUGAGAGCGGCGCACGGGUGCGGAACACGUGUGCAACCUGCCUUUAUCUGGGGGAUAGCCUUUCGAAAGGAAGAUUAAUACCCCAUAAUAUACUGGAUGGCAUCAUCUGGUAUUGAAAACUCCGGUGGAUAGAGAUGGGCACGCGCAAGAUUAGAUAGUUGGUGGGGUAACGGCUCACCAAGUCAGCGAUCUUUAGGGGGCCUGAGAGGGUGAUCCCCCACACUGGUACUGAGACACGGACCAGACUCCUACGGGAGGCAGCAGUGAGGAAUAUUGGACAAUGGGUGAGAGCCUGAUCCAGCCAUCCCGCGUGAAGGACGACGGCCCUAUGGGUUGUAAACUUCUUUUGUAUAGGGAUAAACCUAGAUACGUGUAUCUAGCUGAAGGUACUAUACGAAUAAGCACCGGCUAACUCCGUG
rnacentral:rRNA from 1 species